rnacentral:sRNA from 1 species
AUGUUUUAAUAACUAAAUCCUCUUAUCCAGAUCCCAAGUUUCAGAAGAGGAUGGCAAUGCGGUCCGUUUCUCCAUAUAUGUAUGGAGCAUGGCCGAGGUCAUUGGUCUACGGAGGAUAACAAAAUACUAUCUCAAUUAGUGGUUCUCAAUUUCUGGUUUUGAAUUGUCCAACGAAUCGAUUCCUGAAUGUGGACGGUACCAGGCUCCAGGAUUGGGUCUGCAGCUUUGCGUCAAUUAUUUUCUAAACAUGUUUAACCUUUUCUAUGGAGGAUUGACGAAUUAACAAAAUAUCAUCAGUAUUAAGUGGCGUUCAAGUCGUAAUUUUCAUUUCUUCAACGAGUAGAGUCACCUUUAUGUUAACUGCUUAACUUUUUUAAUGCGGACGGUACCGGGCCCAGGAUUGGGUCUGCAGCUUUGCGUCAAUUAUUUCCUAAGACGUUAUGAAACUAGAUUUAAGGAUACACAAUGUAAUUUUAAGAAAAAACACUG